rnacentral:rRNA from 1 species
GAUGAACGCUGGCGAGAUGCCUUACACAUGCAAGUCGUACGAGAGUUUUAACUCAAGUGGCGGACGGGUGAGUAACACGUAAGAAUUUGCCUUUAGGAGGGGGACAACAGCUGGAAACGGUUGCUAAUACCCCAUAUGCUUUUAAGUGAAAUGGGUUUCCGCCUAAAGAAAGCUUACGGCUGAUUAGCUUGUGUAAGGUAUGGCUUACCAAGGCGACAAUCAGUAUCUGGUUUGAGAGGAUGAUCAGACACACUGGAACUGAGACACGGUCCAGACUCCUACGGGAGGCAGCAGUGGGGAAUUUUUCCGCAAUGGGCGCAAGCCUGACGGAGCAAUUUUCGCGUGAAGGGAUGACGGCCUAUGGGUUGUAAACUUCUUUUUCAGGGUAGGAAUAAAAUGACGUGUACCUGAAGAAUAAGCAUCGGCUAACUCCGUGCCAGCCGCCGC